rnacentral:rRNA from 1 species
UACGGAGGGUGCGAGCGUUGUUCGGAUUUAUUGGGCGUAAAGAGCUCGUAGGCGGUUCAGUAAGUCGGGUGUGAAAACUCUGGGCUCAACCCAGAGACGCCACCCGAUACUGCUGUGACUUGAGUACGGUAGGGGAGUGGGGAAUUCCUGGUGUAGCGGUGAAAUGCGCAGAUAUCAGGAGGAACACCAGUGGCGAAGGCGCCACUCUGGGCCGUAACUGACGCUGAGGAGCGAAAGCGUGGGUAGCAAACAGG